UGGAUCCAGAACUUUGACCCCUGGCUCAGGAAUGAACGCUGGCGGCGUGCCUAAUACAUUGCAAGUCGAACGAAACUUCUUUAUCACCGAGUGCUUGCACUCACCGAUAAAGAGUUGAGUGGCGAACGGGUGAGUAACACGUGGGCAACCUGCCCAAAAGAGGGGGAUAACACUUGGAAACAGGUGCUAAUACCGCAUAACCAUAGUUACCGCAUGGUAACUAUGUAAAAGGUGGCUAUGCUACCGCUUUUGGAUGGGCCCGCGGCGCAUUAGCUAGUUGGUGGGGUAAAGGCUUACCAAGGCAAUGAUGCGUAGCCGAACUGAGAGGUUGAUCGGCCACAUUGGGACUGAGACACGGCCCAAACUCCUACGGGAGGCAGCAGUAGGGAAUCUUCCACAAUGGGCGAAAGCCUGAUGGAGCAACGCCGCGUGGGUGAAGAAGGUCUUCGGAUCGUAAAACCCUGUUGUUAGAGAAGAAAGUGCGUGAGAGUAACUGUUCACGUUUCGACGGUAUCUAACCAGAAAGCCACGGCUAACUACGUGCCAGCAGCCGCGGUAAUACGUAGGUGGCAAGCGUUAUCCGGAUUUAUUGGGCGUAAAGGGAACGCAGGCGGUCUUUUAAGUCUGAUGUGAAAGCCUUCGGCUUAACCGGAGUAGUGCAUUGGAAACUGGGAGACUUGAGUGCAGAAGAGGAGAGUGGAACUCCAUGUGUAGCGGUGAAAUGCGUAGAUAUAUGGAAGAACACCAGUGGCGAAAGCGGCUCUCUGGUCUGUAACUGACGCUGAGGUUCGAAAGCGUGGGUAGCAAACAGGAUUAGAUACCCUGGUAGUCCACGCCGUAAACGAUGAAUGCUAAGUGUUGGAGGGUUUCCGCCCUUCAGUGCUGCAGCUAACGCAAUAAGCAUUCCGCCUGGGGAGUACGACCG
rnacentral:rRNA from 1 species